rnacentral:lncRNA from 13 species
GUCUGGAGCCGGGUGAGGUCACGGGAAGAGAGGCGGGACAGGAACAGCGCCGUGGGUGCCACGCGAGACACGGGUGGGCGGGCCCGCCAGGCACGGAGCCGGCUGCCACGGGGUGCGGCAGGAGGGAGCUGGCUGCCGCCAUUUCGGUGGAGGGGGCCGAGGCCUGUGCCGGGGGCCGGCCGGGGUAGAGCCCGUCCCGAAGGCCCGGCGUGGGACGGAGGGCGGGAAGGUGGCCGCGGGUGGAGUGGGCGUGGCGCCAAGGGCGGGGUCCCCUACCAGGGAAGGGAGCGGCGGCAGAAGCGGAGACAGAGGGAGGGUCCCAAGGAGGCCGAGGGAACGGGCAGGCCCGGAGGAGCAGGCGCGAGUGCGGAGGGGGCGCAGGGUCUGGGGGCGCAGAGGUGCAGCACGCCCGCCGGGAAGCCAGGGGGCACCGCAGCGACUUGCCCGGGUUCCGGGCCUGACUUUCGCACGCCCCGCCCCGCCCCGCCCCGCCCCGCCCCUGGACGGCGACGAUCCGCGGGGCCCGGUGGCGCCUGGGAAGGCGUCCUGGGGGAGGUCCGAGUUCCCGGAAAGUGCAGGUUCCAACGCGGAGCGGGGCCGGGCGGGCUCCCGGGGCCGCUGGGAACGCGCAGGGCGCUGACUCAGGCCCUGACUCACCCGGGGCUGCCCUUCGGGGAUCCGGGGCCGCGGAGCCGCUCAGCUCUGCCCCCCAGCGACCUUUCCUGGGAGUGUCCAGGGCGGUUGUCCUCCCUGGGCGGGGGCACUUCUUUCCUCCUCCCAGAGUUCAAAGCCAUUUUCUGCGCUGGUGCUCGGAGUUCCGCCCUCCUGGGGCCGCAGGGCGGGUUUCUACAGAGGCCUCCACGCUUGGACCGGGACGAAAAGCCUCCACCGUCUUCAAUGCAGGCAACCAAGCUGUUCACGGACCCCCAGUGCCAUUCCCUCAUUCAUGUGCUCAUGUGUCCCUCAUGCACUCAUUCAUUCCUUCAUUCAUUCAGCCCAUGUGUUCACCCAGGGCCCCGCGCAGGGUCACGGACGCUGCCACGGAGGAGACGGACGCACCCUUGGCCUGGAGGGAGCCCCCUAUAA